GAUGAACGCUGGCGGCGUGCCUAAUACAUGCAAGUCGAGCGAACGGACGAGAAGCUUGCUUCUCUGAUGUUAGCGGCGGACGGGUGAGUAACACGUGGAUAACCUACCUAUAAGACUGGGAUAACUUCGGGAAACCGUAGCUAAUACCGGAUAAUAUUUUGAACCGCAUGGUUCAAAAGUGAAAGACGGUCUUGCUGUCACUUAUAGAUGGAUCCGCGCUGCAUUAGCUAGUUGGUAAGGUAACGGCUUACCAAGGCAACGAUGCAUAGCCGACCUGAGAGGGUGAUCGGUCACACUGGAACUGAGACACGGUCCAGACUCCUACGGGAGGCAGCAGUAGGGAAUCUUCCGCAAUGGGCGAAAGCCUGACGGAGCAACGCCGCGUGAGUGAUGAAGGUCUUCGGAUCGUAAAACUCUGUUAUUAGGGAAGAACAUGUGUGUAAGUAACUGUGCACAUCUUGACGGUACCUAAUCAGAAAGCCACGGCUAACUACGUG
rnacentral:rRNA from 1 species